GGACGGGUAGCAUAACUGGUUAAUGCGCUGCACUUUUGAACAAUCAUAACGAUUUACACCGCAUGAGAAGCGUGGUUCGAGUCCCGCUCUGUCCC